rnacentral:lncRNA from 1 species
CCACAUGUCUUCUUUCUUGGCACGAGCUUAUAUCGACAGGACAAUUGAAACAAACCGUGUCGGGAACAGGAGGAGAACCUCGUCUCGACACAAUCGAAGGCCCGGUCCUCCUUAGAUCGGAUAAGGGGAGAGGCCCUACCAUGCCCUUACGUGCCCCCACAGCCAUGUUAGGGACAGGAGGAGAACCUCACCCUAACAUGAGCAAGGUCGAAGACCCGAUUAUUUUUAGACCGGAUGGGGAGAGAGGCCCUACAACGCCCCCAUGUACCCCCACAGCCAUGUUAGGGACAGGAGGAGAAUCUUGCCCUAACAUGAGCAAAGUCGAAGGCCCGGUUCUCCUUAGAUCGGACGGGGGGAGAGGCCCUGCAACGCCCAUAUGUGCCCCCACAGCCCUGUUAGGGAUAGGAGGAGAACCUCGCCCUAACAUGAGCAAAGUCGAAGGCCCGGUUCCCCUU